AACAAGGCGUACCUGCGGACCUGCGGAGGGAUCAUUACCGAGUGAGGACCCUCCGGGUCCAACCUCCCACCCGUGUUUAACGAACCUUGUUGCUUCGGCGGGCCCGCCUCACGGCCGCCGGGGGGCACUCCGCCCCCGGGCCCGCGCCCGCCGAAGACACCUGUGAACGCUGUCUGAAGUUGCAGUCUGAGACACUAGCUCAAUCAGUUAAAACUUUCAGCAAUGGAUCUCAGAUCGGAA
rnacentral:misc_RNA from 1 species